CUUCUCUCUCCUACAUUUCUCUCUUUUCAUUUUCUCUCUCUAGAACUUAUUUUUGUCAUAUCUUUUAAACCGUAAGUUCUAUUUAGGAUCCGUUUUCGCCUACAGAUUCGUCUUGACAAUUUCUUUCUAUUAGUAGAAAGAAAAUUUUGAUUUGGUGACUUUAUUUUUGAUGAUCUAGGGGCUUGAUUUUGUUACAUAUCGUCGACGAUUGUUGGAAAUAAGAUUUUGCAGGUAUGGAUUCAAGAUACUAGAACAAGAAGUUCCGAUAUGUAUAUAAUGUCAAAUGGGUUGUGAAAUUUGUGUUUUCUUUAUGUUUGUUUGGAAUAAAGAAUAAGUACUAGUGUACUAUCAUAAUAUAUGCUUCCGUUGGAAUUUUGAGAUC